GGGAUGGGCCUGCGGCGCAUUAGCUAGUUGGUGGGGUAACGGCUCACCAAGGCGACGAUGCGUAGCCGACCUGAGAGGGUGAUCGGCCACACUGGGACUGAGACACGGCCCAGACUCCUACGGGAGGCAGCAGUAGGGAAUCUUCCGCAAUGGGCGAAAGCCUGACGGAGCAAUGCCGCGUGAGUGAUGAAGGUUUUCGGAUCGUAAAGCUCUGUUGCCAGGGAAGAACGCUUGGGAGAGUAACUGCUCUCAAGGUGACGGUACCUGAGAAGAAAGCCCCGGCUAACUACGUGCCAGCAGCCGCGGUAAUACGUAGGGGGCAAGCGUUGUCCGGAAUUAUUGGGCGUAAAGCGCGCGCAGGCGGUCAUUUAAGUCUGGUGUUUAAUCCCGGGGCUCAACCCCGGAUCGCACUGGAAACUGGGUGACUUGAGUGCAGAAGAGGAGAGUGGAAUUCCACGUGUAGCGGUGAAAUGCGUAGAUAUGUGGAGGAACACCAGUGGCGAAGGCGACUCUCUGGGCUGUAACUGACGCUGAGGCGCGAAAGCGUGGGGAGCAACAGGAUUAGAUACCCUGGUAGUCC
rnacentral:rRNA from 1 species